rnacentral:rRNA from 1 species
UACGAAGGGGGCUAGCGUUGUUCGGAUUUACUGGGCGUAAAGCGCACGUAGGCGGAUUGUUAAGUCAGGGGGUGAAAUCCUGGAGCUCAACUCCAGAACUGCCUUUGAUACUGGCAAUCUAGAGUCCGGAAGAGGUGAGUGGAACUCCUAGUGUAGAGGUGGAAUUCGUAGAUAUUCGCAAGAACACCAGUGGUGAAGGCGGCUCACUGGCCCGGUACUGACGCUGAGGUGCGAAAGCGUGGGGAGCAAACAGG